CCAUGAGAAUGGAGGCCAUUCAUAGCAGAACUAUGAGACAAGAGGAGCCUAGGUCCCUGAGCUGCAGAACUGCGUACUAACCUGAUGAGAAGACUAAUGCUCAGUGAGGUGAACUCCUUCAGGGCCACAGGCAGUAAAGAUCUAAACCCCAUCUGAUCCAGUUUCAAUAUGACUGCCUGGAUGAAGAAGGAUUUGAGACUAAGUUUAUUCCUCCAGAGCAAACCAACUGAGAAUGCAGUUUCUGAGGACCUUGGCUCGUUUCAAAUUCUGGAAAUAUAUUUGAACACCUCUCCCAGAAGUGGGUAAGAAGUUAGAAUAACGGAAAGGCUUGGCUCCAAGUUCAGUUGAAUGUCAAAAAGCCCAAGUUUGGCUGAAUGGACUUUGUGUCAUGAAAUCUCAGCUCCCUCUCUGUUCUUCCAGGCCAAAUACCUACUGGAUGAAACUGAUAAAAUUAAACAAAGAGAGA
rnacentral:lncRNA from 1 species